UACGUAGGGGGCAAGCGUUGUCCGGAUUUAUUGGGCGUAAAGAGCGUGUAGGCGGCUAGAUAGGUCCGUUGUGAAAACUCGAGGCUCAACCUCGAGACGUCGAUGGAAACCAUCUGGCUAGAGUCCGGAAGAGGAGAGUGGAAUUCCUGGUGUAGCGGUGAAAUGCGCAGAUAUCAGGAAGAACACCCGUGGCGAAGGCGGCUCUCUGGUACGUGACUGACGCUGAGACGCGAAAAGCGUGGGGGAGCGAACAGG
rnacentral:rRNA from 1 species